rnacentral:lncRNA from 1 species
AUGAGACCCCUUCCCGGCCGACGGCGAGGCUGCCCGGAAACCGACGGGAGCUUCCGGGUCGUGGUGGCCGCUGCAGGGGGUGGUUUCCCGCUGCUGUUCCUGCGAGGCCGGCGUCCUCCCGCCGUGAGACGUUGGUCUGUCGGGUGGGCAGCACGUCCGUCCGUUCGCGAGAGGCACGGUGGCACCAUGCUGGACCCCGCCAGUCCGCGCGCGCCGUGCAGACAGCCCAGGAGGCCUGAGGGCGCUCCCCCGACCCCCAGGACGCCCGCGCUCCGGCCUGGCCCAGGGCCCCCCGCGAGGACGGACGCACGCACGUCGGGAAGGCUCCCCUGGAUUUCCUGGACGACAGUGCCAAUGUCAGCCUCCUUGAUGGAGCAUAGUAUUCUGAUCCACAGUGAAGCCGAAAACCUGGAACCCUAUCAGGUCAUCUCAGUACUCAGACCAUGCUUCGUUUUAAUUCCCUUUUCAUAAAGGAGAAAAGCAGGGGAAGACAAGCCCC